GACGAACGCUGGCGGCGUGCUUAACACAUGCAAGUCGAACGGAAAGGCCCUGCUUUUGUGGGGUGCUCGAGUGGCGAACGGGUGAGUAACACGUGAGUAACCUGCCCUUGACUUUGGGAUAACUUCAGGAAACUGGGGCUAAUACCGGAUAGGAGCUCCUGCUGCAUGGUGGGGGUUGGAAAGUUUCGGCGGUUGGGGAUGGACUCGCGGCUUAUCAGCUUGUUGGUGGGGUAGUGGCUUACCAAGGCUUUGACGGGUAGCCGGCCUGAGAGGGUGACCGGCCACAUUGGGACUGAGAUACGGCCCAGACUCCUACGGGAGGCAGCAGUGGGGAAUAUUGCAAAAUGGGCGGAAGCCAGAUGCAGCAACGCCGCGUGCGGGAUGACGGCCUUCGGGUUGUAAACCGCUUUCGCCUGUGACGAAGCGUGAGUGACGGUAAUGGGUAAAGAAGCACCGGAUAACUACGUG
rnacentral:rRNA from 1 species